rnacentral:tmRNA from 1 species
GGGAGUGACCUGGCUUUCGACAGGAGCAGGUUGGAACUGACGGCAUGUAGUCUUUGAAAGACUUAAAACUAUCUCGUUAAAUAUAAACGCAAACAAUACAAACUAUAGACCUGCGCUCGCUGUAGCGUAAGAGACACAAGUCCGGUCAGUUAUACGCAUCACCCUUGGCUACACAGGGCGCGUAUAGCUUCAUAUAAAAAAAAGCUGUAGCUUUGAUAUAACGGUUGCCUAGCCGUUGUAUCGAGACUUUCAGGCUUGGAUAGUACUAGCCGGUGGGCGAAGGGUAGGUACUAUCGACAACCUUACUUCGCUACUAAGCAUGUAGAAGUCAGUUCUGGAACCUGCUUGUGGACUGGGGUUCGAUUCCCCACACUUCCACCA